rnacentral:pre_miRNA from 1 species
ACAUGAAUCUGCUGGGGAGCUUGUUAAAAUGCAGAUUCUGAUUGAGCAGGUCUGGGGUGGGCCUGAGAUUCUGCAUUUCUCACAAACUCCCAGGAGGUCCUGAU